CCGAAUUCCGCGCGUGUUUUCGGCUACCUGCAGGUGGCAGAAUCUCUGCAUAAGCUCGCUUUCUUUAAAUGUUUGAAAUUAGAUCCAGGUUUUUUUGAGAGAGCAAAGCGUAUGGGUUUUCAGCGGCGUAGUGGCGUAGGAAUUUACCCUGUAGAGAACAAAGAAACUCACCUUCUGGAGAACACAUUUUGUCUAAUUUAGGAUUAGAUCAUCGAAUUUGCCGUGCUGGCCUCAUUUUUCACAGACAAUUUUGUAGAGGAAGCAUGUGUUGCAGUGCUUUCGUUUUAUAUGUUAUCAAGUGUUCCACUCUAUCAAAUGUAAUUCACACAUCUAAUCAUUCCUAUUACCUACUCAAAUUGUUUCCUCGUUGCAGGGUGGUAUACAAAUGAGACCGAUCCUUGCUCCAUACUUAUUUGUCGUUCUGAUGACGACCAUUAUCAGCGUCACAAAUCUUAUGAUCACAACAGCCAUGUACCAGUCGGACGCUCUGGGAACGAUCAUCAUAAUCAAUACUGGGGUCGUAUUCGUGUCUUUACUCGUCAUAAUGACGUGGAGUUUGACGAUGGUCAGAUCAAAACUUUCAAAUGUUCUGAGAUACCUGUAUAACUCGAAAUGGUCGCAACUGAGUGAAUGUCCGAGCAGAAAACAAGAUUUCCUGAUCAUCUCACAAAGCUCCUUUCAGCCAGUCACUUUCCCGCUCAUCAUGUACGGAAAUUUAGAUUUUCCAAGACUUUAUCAGCUUUUCAAUUUGGCAUGGAAUUACUUCUCUCUAAUGAAAAGCGUAGCCGGACAAUUGAAAGAAGCCGAGCUUCAUCAACAUUCCGACCAUAUAUCACAUCACAUAGUGACUUGAAAGUGAAGAAUCAUAACUAAGUUUGAUUAUAUCUCAAAAAACUUAACUCUAAAGUCGCAGUGCCUGUAGCUACAGUCCGAUAUAGCGCAUUCAUCUAUUCAGCCCACAUUUGCAUUGGUGUAAUGGUUUAUUAAGUCCGAAUUUAGCUGCAGUAUUGUUUUUGUGACAUCUUAAAUAUGCCACUAUUAAAGGAAAAAUGACAAACUUCUGUGUUUGGGAUUUCUCUCCGUGCAGAGUAUCUCACAGAAAAGUGAUUUUUCACCUUAGCCCAAAAAAUCAAGUCCAACCUCACAUGCCCGGGCCGCCUCGUUCUGUCAGUGUGUACUGUGUGUUCUAUUUAUGAACUUAUAAGGCGCAAUGUAAACUUCAAGGUUCAGGCCUGCUCUGGAAGAAGACAAUGAGAAGAACGAGAAGAGAAAGGCCGGCACAAAAACCGCGAGAGCCUUAGGUCCGAAAGAUGUGGAAGUGUUAUGAUCAGCCGAUGCAUUAGCAAUCAGUAAUGAAUGACGGUCAGAGUGGGGGGAGGGAAAAAUUAUGGAACGAGAAAAGAGAAUGGAGAAGAAAAAUCAGCUACUGUUUAAAGCACUGCCUGUGCUGGAGGGGUAACAAGUUAUUGAAAAUGCAAGUGUAAUUUACUCCGCAGGUGCCUAAGGGCGUGUUUUCAAUACAAGCACUUUUUUCAUGUCCCUCUUUCAUCCUCUGCGCCUUGCGCAAUGAACAUGGCUGCCAAAAGAGACUCUAAAUGUUCCUGGCUCGUGAAAUUAUUUUCCACCGGCAGCAUCAUAUUUUCAUUGGCCGUGAGUAUCACCUAUAAAAGUAUUCUUAAGUGUAAUAAUGUAAAUAUAUUUUAAAUCUAUAUCAAAUUGUCUCGAUUGAUAAAAUCUCAUCGUAGCAAUGCUACUUAUCAAACGAAACUCAUUUGAGAACGACAUAAUAAGUGACAGAGACAAUUUUUACAGAAACUCGAUGGAUACAGUCGCAUCUUUUUUCUGCGAAUUUUGAUGGCUGGACGGUUUAGUCAGCACUAAAGUCAACCUUAGCUUUAAAAUAUCAAACAUCUAAUAGGAAAUUGUAAGAGGUUUCGGACAGUUGUGUAUUUUUCAAGGUACACAACUUAAUUUUUGGCAGAUGAAAUAACUACUAUUUUCACGGCACCGGUGAAACGGGUGAAUUUUUUCUCUAGUGCUUGAUUCCAGAGAAUCCAGGAAUUUGACCUAAAAACCAAAUGUCUUACCCUACUUGUACCAGGCCUCCUAAAAACCUCCUGAGAGUCCCUUUUCAACCAGACAUUUUAAUAAUUUGAGGUUAUGAAUGAAUUUAUAACACUGGCUAAUACAGAUAUUCCCUGACGAUAUCCCUUUCGCCCCAGUCAGAGUCUUUACCGUGACCUAAACAAUCACUGGAACAUGAGUAGUAUCGUCAACACGACUAGGAAAAUAAGUGAGACCCGGAAUCUCCGAUUGGCAUUAUUUUUUCGCGCCCAGACAUUUGGGCUUCCAAAUGUCUGGGCGCGAAAAAUAAUGCCAAUCGGAGAUUCCGGGUCUCACUUAUUUUCCUAGUCGUAUUGAAAUACAUAUGUAUUUUGCAAUUUGAAACUAUAAAUUCUGGCCCGGUUUAAAAACAACGUAAGUGCCACUAGUUUCCCUGCACAUAAGUGUUUUUUUCAGAUGAGCCAGAAUUUAUAGUUCCAAAUUGCAGGAUGCAGUCCAUUUGGCAACAAUUAAACUCCGCGGAUUCAUUCAAGUGCCAGCAGCAACGAAGAAUCAUUUAAAGAAAGUGCACAGAUAGCACGUGAAUCGGAUGCAUGAGAAUAUUAAAAAAAGAAAGGGUAAAAAAGGAAAACUGCGAGAAAGAGACGAAGGAAAUGUUCGGAUCAUCGACAAGCAAGUCUCCUCCUUCGCAUCUGUAAUAUUUCAUAAAACACAGGAGAGAAGAGGGGAUAAGCUCCCGCGUUGCUGCGCAGGUAUUUUCAAUAAUUAGUCGGUAGUAUCAGUUCAUCACCUUUGUUUUCCGUUCACUGACUUGAAUUCUUUUGUGCGCUGUUGUCAAAGCACAGGCAUACUUUCUCGAACUGGGGAGAUUUUCGAAAUUUUCAGAAUUCAAAUUAAAGAACUUUUUAAUGUAGUACUUUUACCAUUGAGCUCCUUCAAGUCCAAGUUUUGGAUGGAAUCUCAAAACACUUUGUGUUGAAUCAAAGCAACUUUGAAAAAAAGUGAAGUUGAUUUGACAUUCUGGAUGUAAAAGAAGUGUGCGAGAACUAUAUGAAAUGCUGAAUUACCCGUUAUAGCAGUUACUUUUGCAAUGCCAAGAUGUAAAACUAACUGCUGUGGCGGGUAAUUUAGCAUUUCGUAGUUCUCGCACACUUUUUUUACAUCCAGAAUGUUUAAUCAACUUCACUUUUUUUUCGGUGAAGUCAUUUUGCAUUUAUCUGUUUUUGAAAAUUAGUCAGUAUGUUGAAAGCCAAUCUUCAAAUCAAGCGUUUUGUUAAAUGCCGAUGCGAAAAGCCAAUUAUUUUAUCGAUCCUUUGAAUUCUGAAUUUUCAUUCUGCAUGAAGCGACGAUCAGCGUAUCGACGGUGAAACUACCAAACCACGUAUCUCGGUUUGUGACGUCGCAGACUUCCUGUCAUACUUUAUUUUUAGGUAGAUUUCGAAGAAAUAUCUACCUAUUGCAGACGGUACGACCUCGUAAUUUUCGGGAAUUUUUGCUCAAAGAGCAUCGAUCCUGAGUCCCUGAGUUGAAAAAUGUAUGUCAUAAAAAAAGUACGAUAUAUAUUUAUAUAUAUAUAUUAUAUUUAUAUAUAUAUAACUGGGAUCUAACGAAACUUUGCGACCGUUUUUUUUCGGAACUAUCGACACGGUCAAAACGAAACUAAGCAUGGUUCUUCACUGCUAUGAGGUCAACAUCAAGUUUCCUUUUUCGUGAAAAUCGGC
rnacentral:lncRNA from 1 species